rnacentral:rRNA from 1 species
UGGGGAAUAUUUCACAAUGGGGGAAACCCUGAUGCAGCGACGCCGCGUGAACGAAGAAGGUAUUCGUAUCGUAAAGUUCUGUCCUAUGGGAAGAUAAUGACAGUACCAUAGAAGAAAGCUCCGGCUAAAUACGUGCCAGCAGCCGCGGUAAUACGUAUGGAGCGAGCGUUGUCCGGAAUCAUUGGGCGUAAAGGGUACGUAGGCGGGUAAGCAAGUUAGAAGUGAAAUCCUGUAGCUCAACUACAGUAAGCUUUUAAAACUGCUCAUCUUGAGAUAUGGAAGGGAAAGUGGAAUUCCUAGUGUAGCGGUGAAAUGCGCAGAUAUUAGGAGGAAUACCGGUGGCGAAGGCGACUUUCUGGCCAUAAUCUGACGCUGAGGUACGAAAGCGUGGGUAGCAAACAGG